AUAAAUAAGAGGAAGAUGAUGAUGAUGAAUAAGGAGGCAGCGGAAGGGGAGGAGAAGUGGGUGCUUUUAGCAGAGCUAGUUUCAACUUGAUACUCUUAUUCAUCAAAUUUCAACAUUAUCAUUUCGUCAAACACAUGAAGGCCAAUAGCUGCUUCUGAUUCAUUCCCAUCACUUCCACUAUGUUGGAUCUUAACCUCUCCGUCUCUUCUCUCCACAACCACAACCUUCUACAACUUUCUUCCACCCAUAUGGAAGCUUCUGCUAGCUUCAGUUCCUCUUCCAACGCCGCCGACAACCACUACUCCUGCUCCAACGCCCAACCUUUCGCCUACGCUUUCAGCAUUUUAACUAACGAACCUGUCAAAUCCAUUCACGAUGACGAUAACGCUGCCGACCCUACCAUCCAGCUUUUUCCCCCGCUCGACGGCCACUCUUCCGAUUCCAUGACUCCGCAGUUGAUGGAUCUCAGGUCCAGGGAGAUGGUGCCUCAGGUGCAGCAGAGGCCACAGGUCAAGAAGAGUAGGCGUGGGCCCAGGUCUAGAAGCUCGCAAUAUCGGGGAGUCACGUUUUACCGGAGAACUGGCAGAUGGGAAUCUCAUAUUUGGGAUUGUGGGAAACAGGUGUACUUGGGGGGAUUUGAUACUGCACAUGCUGCAGCUAGGGCAUAUGAUCGAGCAGCGAUCAAGUUCCGUGGGAUUGAUGCUGAUAUCAACUUUAAUGUGAGUGACUAUGAAGAGGAUAUUAAACAGAUGAGCAAUUUUACAAAAGAAGAAUUUGUGCAUAUCCUGCGUCGCCAAAGCACUGGAUUCUCAAGAGGAAGCUCAAAAUAUAGAGGAGUAACUCUACAUAAAUGUGGGCGAUGGGAAGCUCGUAUGGGCCAGUUUCUUGGCAAGAAGUAUAUAUAUCUUGGCCUAUUCGACAGUGAGAUUGAAGCUGCAAGGGCUUAUGACAAGGCUGCCAUAAAGUGCAAUGCAAGAGAAGCAGUUACCAACUUUGAACCUAGCACAUAUGAAGGCGAAGUAAUGAUGGAGGCCAAUAAUGGAGAUGGCAACCAAAAUCUCGACCUAAACUUGGGAAUUGCUCCCCCUGAUUUAUCUGAUGGUCAAAAGAUAAACAGAGACACGGAUGGUUUCCAUAUUCAGAAUUGCUGGGAUGGCAGGUCUAUUGGCAAGGGACCAAUGGUGAUUCUAAACUCUGCUUCUGCAAAAUUAAAGGAUGAACCGCCACAUGACCCUGCAAUGGCAUCUCAUCACCCUCCUUUAUGGGGUGGCUUAGAUUCCAAUAUCUUUCCCCUAUAUAAGGAAAGAGCAAUGGAGAAGUGGGUGGAAGUAGAUUCACUGCCAAAUUGGAUGUGGCAAACCCAAGGGGCAAAUCCACUGUCUCUCUUCUCCACUGCAGCAUCAUCAGGAUUCGCAUCUUCAACAAUUACUGCACCUGCAGCAACUGUUAGUCAACUUCACUUUCCAAAUUCAACAAUUCUCUACCACCAAAUUUCUCCUUCUGUCGCCAACCCCAGCAACGUCUCUCAUUUCUAUUGUAGGAGCUGAAAGAUUAACAUAGCCACAGUCCAAAAACCUUUUCUUCGGUAUAGAAAAGAGAUGGGUGGGCAGAGAAUGAAAAAGCCAAGAAUGGGUUUUGAUUCUCAUCUUAUUUCCCGAUAGAAAAUCAAUUAGAAAUCAAGAGAUUUUUUUGGGUUCACUCAUAGUAUAAUGGCGACACGACUCCUUCAACAAUGAAUUAAAUAAAUUUCAUCAGCAGAAAGCAAGAGUCAGAACCUUAUAAAACUAAGCAUGUUCCUUCAACCCAUGAAAGGUUUUUUUUUCUUCCCCAAGUGUAAAAGUGUAAGAGAUGAAUGUUUAUUAGAACGACAAGGCUUCCAAGUCCAAACAU